rnacentral:rRNA from 1 species
CAGUCGCCGCGGUAAUACGGAGGGUGCAAGCGUUAAUCGGAAUUACUGGGCGUAAAGCGUGCGCAGGCGGUUAUAUAAGACAGAUGUGAAAUCCCCGGGCUCAACAUGGGAACUGCAUUUGUGACUGUAUAGCUAGAGUACGGCAGAGGGGGAUGGAAUUCCGCGUGUAGCAGUGAAAUGCGUAGAUAUGCGGAGGAACACCGAUGGCGAAGGCAAUCCCCUGGGCCUGUACUGACGCUCAUGCACGAAAGCGUGGGGAGCAAACAGGAUUAGAUACCCGAGUAGUCCCUGUCUCUUAUAC